UACAGAGGCCUCGAGCGUUAGGCGGAAUCACUGGGCUUAAAGCGUGUGUAGGUGGAUGCCUAAGUGCCUUGUGAAAUCCCAUGGCUUAACCAUGGAAUUGCUGGGCAUACUGGGCGUCUUGAGCCACUCAGGGGCUACCGGAACAAACGGUGGAGCGGUGAAAUGCGUAGAUAUCAUUUGGAACGCCAAUGGUGAAAACAGGUAGCUGGGGCUGUGCUGACACUGAGACACGAAAGCCAGGGGAGCAAACGGG
rnacentral:rRNA from 1 species